UGAAGGGAAAAAUACACUUUAAAAUGUUGCUGAAUGUGUUUCUGCUGUCUCGUCUACAAGUUAUACGGAAAUACUAUUUACUCCAUUUGGCGACAAAGGGGGUAUGGAACCACCCAUGAACAAUUGGUGCUUCUAUAAGCCAUCUAAGGCCCACACUGAACCACACGUAAUGCAAUUGAACCAACCAAUUCGCUCAAUUUGCCUGGGCUGGAGGAAGUGUGUAAUGUUUAAAUUUUGACCCUUCACUGCAGGAUAUGUCCAUUCUACCAAUAGAGGAAUUGGAGCAAAUGACCAGAGCACUAAAGGAGGCUGCCAGCAAAUUUGGGCUAAACAUAAAGGAAGCCAAGACAGAGUACUUCGUUAUGACGCAUGGUCAAAGUGAGACUGCAGAACCCUCAUUAACACAGUGCAAGGCCUGCUCUCUUCAAGUAAAGGCAAUAAAUUGGACACACUUCACACAUAUACAUGCGCACGCAUACUACUACUACAGUAUGG